rnacentral:misc_RNA from 1 species
GAAAUGCGAUAAGUAGUGUGAAUUGCAGAAUUCAGUGAAUCAUCGAAUCUUUGAACGCACAUUGCGCCCCUUGGUAUUCCAUGGGGCAUGCCUGUUCGAGCGUCAUUUGUACCCUCAAGCUCUGCUUGGUGUUGGGUGUUUGUCCCGUCUCCGCGCGUGGACUCGCCCCAAAGUGAUUGGCAGUCGGCGUACUGGUCCCGGAGCGCAGCACAUGUCGCGCAAACGAGUGCCUUGGUACGGCGGCGUCCAUAAGCCCCUCUCUCACGCUCUUGACCUCGGAUCAGGUAGGGAUACCCGCUGAACUUAAGC